GUGAAAAAAUUAGAGUGUUCAAAGCAGGCAGAUUCAAUUUUCUGCCACCGAAUACAUUAGCAUGGGAUAAUGGAAUAGGACCCUGUCCUCCUAUUUUCAGUUGGUUUUGGCAGCGCGAGGACUAGGGUAAUGAUUAAUAGGGAUAGUUGGGGGCAUUAAUAUUUAAUUGUCAGAGGUGAAAUUCUUGGAUUUAUGAAAGAUUAACUUCUGCGAAAGCAUCUGCCAAGGAUGUUUUCAUUAAUCAAGAACGAAAGUUAGGGGAUCGAAGACGAUCAGAUACCGUCGUAGUCUUAACCAUAAACGAUGCCGACCAGCGAUUAGGAGACGUUGAAUACAAAACACCACCAUCGGCGCGGUCGUCCUUGGCGUUCGUGUUCACGCACGAGCGCGAGUCGCAGCCCCUCCCA
rnacentral:rRNA from 1 species